ensembl:snoRNA SNORA72 Small nucleolar RNA SNORA72
CUGUGAAUAUUCUCUGUGUUCUGAUUAUGUGAGAGCCAGGACAGGCUAAACAUUUGCUACAUUAAGACCAUGCAUAUGUACCCAGAUGUAGCCCAUUCCCUAGCUCUGGUCUUAUAAAUGCUGGUGAUAAAC